GAUUGAACGCUGGCGGCAGGCUUAACACAUGCAAGUCGAGCGGAUGAAGGUAGCUUGCUACCGGAUUCAGCGGCGGACGGGUGAGUAAUGCUUAGGAAUCUGCCUAUUAGUGGGGGACAACGUUCCGAAAGGGGCGCUAAUACCGCAUACGUCCUACGGGAGAAAGCAGGGGACCUUCGGGCCUUGCGCUAAUAGAUGAGCCUAAGUCGGAUUAGCUAGUUGGUAGGGUAAAGGCCUACCAAGGCGACGAUCUGUAGCGGGUCUGAGAGGAUGAUCCGCCACACUGGGACUGAGACACGGCCCAGACUCCUACGGGAGGCAGCAGUGGGGAAUAUUGGACAAUGGGGGGAACCCUGAUCCAGCCAUGCCGCGUGUGUGAAGAAGGCCUUUUGGUUGUAAAGCACUUUAAGCGAGGAGGAGGCUACCUAGAUUAAUACUUUAGGAUAGUGGACGUACUCGCAGAAUAAGC
rnacentral:rRNA from 2 species